rnacentral:rRNA from 1 species
AAAUUGAAGAGUUUGAUCAUGGCUCAGAUUGAACGCUGGCGGCAGGCCUAACACAUGCAAGUCGAGCGGUAGCACAGAGAGCUUGCUCUCGGGUGACGAGCGGCGGACGGGUGAGUAAUGUCUGGGAAACUGCCUGAUGGAGGGGGAUAACUACUGGAAACGGUAGCUAAUACCGCAUAACGUCGCAAGACCAAAGUGGGGGACCUUCGGGCCUCAUGCCAUCAGAUGUGCCCAGAUGGGAUUAGCUAGUAGGUGGGGUAACGGCUCACCUAGGCGACGAUCCCUAGCUGGUCUGAGAGGAUGACCAGCCACACUGGAACUGAGACACGGUCCAGACUCCUACGGGAGGCAGCAGUGGGGAAUAUUGCACAAUGGGCGCAAGCCUGAUGCAGCCAUGCCGCGUGUGUGAAGAAGGCCUUCGGGUUGUAAAGCACUUUGAGCGGGGAGGAAGGCGUUAAGGUUAAUAACCUUGGCGAUUGACGUUACCCGCAGAAGAAGCACCGGCUAACUCCGUGCCAGCAGCCGCGGUAAUACGGAGGGUGCAAGCGUUAAUCGGAAUUACUGGGCGUAAAGCGCACGCAGGCGGUCUGUCAAGUCGGAUGUGAAAUCCCCGGGCUCAACCUGGGAACUGCAUUCGAAACUGGCAGGCUAGAGUCUUGUAGAGGGGGGUAGAAUUCCAGGUGUAGCGGUGAAAUGCGUAGAGAUCUGGAGGAAUACCGGUGGCGAAGGCGGCCCCCUGGACAAAGACUGACGCUCAGGUGCGAAAGCGUGGGGAGCAAACAGGAUUAGAUACCCUGGUAGUCCACGCCGUAAACGAUGUCGAUUUGGAGGUUGUGCCCUUGAGGCGUGGCUUCCGGAGCUAACGCGUUAAAUCGACCGCCUGGGGAGUACGGCCGCAAGGUUAAAACUCAAAUGAAUUGACGGGGGGCCCGCACAAGCGGUGGAGCAUGUGGUUUAAUUCGAUGCAACGCGAAGAACCUUACCUGGUCUUGACAUCCACAGAACUUUCCAGAGAUGGAUUGGUGCCUUCGGGAACUGUGAGACAGGUGCUGCAUGGCUGUCGUCAGCUCGUGUUGUGAAAUGUUGGGUUAAGUCCCGCAACGAGCGCAACCCUUAUCCUUUGUUGCCAGCGGUCCGGCCGGGAACUCAAAGGAGACUGCCAGUGAUAAACUGGAGGAAGGUGGGGAUGACGUCAAGUCAUCAUGGCCCUUACGACCAGGGCUACACACGUGCUACAAUGGCAUAUACAAAGAGAAGCGACCUCGCGAGAGCAAGCGGACCUCAUAAAGUAUGUCGUAGUCCGGAUUGGAGUCUGCAACUCGACUCCAUGAAGUCGGAAUCGCUAGUAAUCGUAGAUCAGAAUGCUACGGUGAAUACGUUCCCGGGCCUUGUACACACCGCCCGUCACACCAUGGGAGUGGGUUGCAAAAGAAGUAGGUAGCUUAACCUUCGGGAGGGCGCUUACCACUUUGUGAUUCAUGACUGGGGUGAAGUCGUAACAAGGUAACCGUAGGGGAACCUGCGGUUGGAUCACCUCCUUACCUUAAAGAA